rnacentral:misc_RNA from 1 species
UAGGGAUUGAGGCGGUAUCUUUUGAGCGAAGCUCGAAAAUAAAGCCGAAAGCCCGACCGGCC